AUGACCUCACCCCAGGCCCUGCCCGAGACAGGUGGCAGGAAACCCUUCCAGACCUGCCUGCCUGCUGCCGGGUCCCUCAAUUUUUCUCUAUUUGAAGUAAAUAAAAAGUGGGGACCUAACACUCCUGGGCCCCCUAUUCUCAAAUGGGAUCCCAAUGCAACCAGGGCUGCCUGGAGCUGUGCCUGCAGCGCAAGGUGUGUGGCAUGUCCUGGCAAGACCCCGGUGGUUUUCCGUCUGAACGCCUUUCCCUUGGCGGGCAUCACCCACUGGCUUCCAGUCUCCUUAACUCUCUGGCCAUCUGUGUGCAGCCCCCAGCCCUGGGCAAGGCAGAGAGAGAAGCCAGCUCCAGGCACAGGGCUGGGGACACUGCCCACUGUCCCUAAGAGGCACUGGAAGCUGCGGAAUGGCAGCUCUAGGCUCUGGGGCUGGAACUGGGACUCCAGAGCAGAUGUGUGUGGCCUGGCCCACGGUCGGGCGGGGGGUUGGGCAGCCAGUGCGGGGGCUUUCGUGAGGGCAGUUUCACUGCUCUGCUCUGCGUUGGCGGGAAGAAUCAGUCCCAGCUGCAGGGACAGUGGCCUUCCCAGCGCACAUGCACCAGGCACCAAGACCAGCACGAAAUCUAAAAUCCAUACAAACUUUUAUUCUGUCCCUGCUGGAGGUGAGGGAAAGGAGGUCCAGAGAGCCUGUGAAGGAAGAUGGGGCCCCGGUGGGAAGACAGUGGCCGGAGGCCGGCGGGCUCCGUGGACGGCAGGCCCUGGGGUUAAUGAGGGGCUGGCUGGGUUCUCAGAGGUCACGGAGUGCAAGGGUGGGGCGGCUAGUGGUGGAAGCCGGCCGCCCCAAAGGCAGGCCAGCCCCUGGAGCCCGGAGGCAGGUCCAGCCCACAUCGGGCUGAGUGUGGCCCUGGCCGCUGCUGGGGUCUGUCCCGUCCCCACCCCCGAGGUGGGAAGGCAGCAGGCCCACUCUUCCCGGUGGGAAAGGGCUGUGCAAGUCGUCAGGUUUAAAUAA
rnacentral:lncRNA from 1 species